rnacentral:rRNA from 1 species
GACGUAGGGGGCCAGCGUUGCUCGGAAUUACUGGGCGUAAAGGGUUCGUAGGCGGUGUGGCAAGUCGGGAGUGAAAUCUCUGGGCUUAACUCAGAGGCUGCUUCCGAAACUGCCGUGCUGGAGUGCGGGAGAGGCGAGUGGAAUUGCAGGUGUAGCGGUGAAAUGCGUAGAUAUCUGCAGGAACACCCGUGGCGAAGGCGGUUCGCUGGACCGCAACUGACGCUGAGGAACGAAAGCUAGGGGAGCAAACAGG